rnacentral:lncRNA from 1 species
GAAAAACUAAUUUAACAAGGUCAAAAUGUUUGAACACACUGUUAUUAAGGAGAUAUUGAGUAAACAGUUUUCAUAUCUGUGCUAAUAUCAGCCUGAAAUUUUAUAAUGUUUCCAAAAGAUAUUUAUCCAUAACUCAAAAGCAGGCAUUUCUCUGGGUGUGUGUCGAUUUUAUUAUUUUGUAUUGAAGUACAGUUGAUUUAUAGUGUCAUAUUCAUUUCAGAUAUACAUCAGUGAUUCACCAUAAGUGUAUGUUUUUUUCUUUUUUCCUUCUUACAGCUGCACCUGAGAUAUACAGAAGUUCCCAGGCUAAGGAUCGAAUCAAAGCUGUAGCUGAGGCCUAAGCCACAGCCAUAGCAAUAUCAGAUCUGAGCCACAUCUGUGACCUACACCACAGCUUGUGGAAAUACUGGGUCCUUGGCCCACUGAGCAAGGACAGGGAUCAAAUAUGCAUCCUCACCGACACCAUGUUGAAUCUUAACCUGUUGAGCCACAAUGGGAACUCCCACUGUAUGUGUUUUAAACAGACUUUUAUUCAUUAAAAAUAUGAAAACGUCACCUACUUUUGUAACAUUGUCUGAGAAAUCUAAAGGCAAAAUUUCUUAUAUUGUCCAUUUCAUCUUUUCAUUCAUUUGACAAAUUUCCCCCAAUCUUAUUUACCACUGCCUAGCAUCUACGUAGCACAGAAUUAUUUAAGAAUUUUCUACCUUCAAAUAAUGUUCUUCUAUCAGCAAUAAUGAAAAUUUUAUAGAGCAUUAAAAAUGAGCACAGAGGUUCUAUUAAUAUUAAGAUGAAGGUGCUUGCUUUAUAGCUAGAAUUUAAGAAAAAUGUAAACCACAUUAUACUCCAUAAUUGCUCUGCUAAAGAAUUUGCUCUUUGUGGGCCAUUUAGAUUAUGCAGACUUGAAGAGAAUGUGGUUACACUUGACUCAACUUAAAUCUCUACUUACUAGUGUUGGUAUCUCUAUGUCAUUCUGGUAACUGGGCUUGAAUAUAUCAUUAACUCAGUACAAACAAAGAACUAAAAGCCAUCUAGAGUUCAAAUUCAGUUCAACAAGUUUACUCUUACUUACCAAGGCAGAGUAACAAGAGAAAUGCAAAUAUGAUUGAUACCAUCCCAGCCUUCCACACUUUGGGGGCAGAAAAUAGUCUUCUCAGAGGAUGUAUGCGGGGCGGGGGGAAGUGAGAAACGAAGUUGGGAAGUUCUGCUGGACUCUAGUUUUGGGAUAGUUUGGACAAAAUAAACAUUUUGAAAAGAGGGGUGAAUGAUUGGGGCUGGAAUUGAUGAUAAUCAGUAGGGUUGCGGUGCAUGGGAUGGAUGGAACCAGACUAGAGACUCGAGGUGGCUAAUAAGGAAGAGUGUGCAAAGAGGCAGAGUGGCAGCACCUGAGAUGCAGUGUCAGACUAGGAGGGUGGAGAGACAUAAUGAGAAGGAGAAUCCACGUGCCUUCUGACGGAUGGUGUGUGUGUCACCGACAUAAGGAAGAUGAAGAGAGGGAAUGUUUAAUGACCCCCUCCUGUGCCAGACAAUCCGGGUUCAUCAUAAAGGCUGUAUUAAUUAAUUCUCAGAACAACCUGAGAGGUUAUGCCCAUUUGCCAAAAGCAGAAAGAAAGGUUAUGUAAUUUGUAUAAUAUUCUCUAGAGCUGGGAUUCAAAUGCAAAUGGACAUUAUCCUUCCUUCACUUCUUUCUAAUUUCUUUUGUUUCUCUCUUUCUCUCUCUUUCUUUCUUUUUGCUUCCUUUUCCUUCCUUCCUUUCUUCCCCCCCUCCCCCUCCCUCCCUUCUUUCCUUCCUUUCUUCCUUCACUUCUUUCUACUUUCCUUCCUUCCUUCCUUUCUCUCUCUCUCUUUCUUCCUUUCUCUCUCUCUCUUUCUUUCUUUCUUUCUUUCUUUCUCUUUCCUUCCUUCCUUCUUUCCUUCCUUCCUUCCUUCCUUCCUUCUUUCCUUCUUUCUUUCUUUCUUUUUUCUUUCUUUCUUUCUUUCUUUCUUUCUUUCUUUCUUUCUUCUUUCUUUCUUUCUUUCUUUCUUUCUUUCUUUCUUUCUUUCUUUCUUUCUUUCUUUCUUCUUUUCCCUCCUUCUGCCCUUCCUUUCUUCCUCUCUCUCUCUUUCUUUCGUUUUCUUCUAUUUAUUGAGUGAGUGCUCUCUGUCAGGCAUUCUAGAAGAUGCCAGGGGCAUAACAGUGAACAAAAGAAACAUGAGUUCUGCUCUCAAGGAACUCUUAGCCUAGUAAGAGAAGUAUACAUUUAACUUAAAUACCUACCUGGGGUAGUCUUAAAAAUAUCCAAAAAACCCCUCAAAAUGUACAGCUUACCUUUCCACCUCUUUAGUGUAGGGUGGACUUAAAGACUUGCGUGUAAGAAACAGAAGAAAGCAGAAAUGGCAAAAUGUGACCUCUAAGCCUAGGUCCUAAAGACAUAGGGCUUCCUUCACAUCUGCUCUCUUAGAUCACUUACCCUGGGUGAGCCGGCUGCUGUGUUCUGAAGAGGCUCCAGCAGGCCUCUGAGGAGGCCCAUAUAGUAAGGAACUGUGGCCACAGGAAUGAACUUUGCAGCAGGUCUUCCAGUCCAAGGCUGCAGCCUGGCCAAUGUCUUGACUGCAGCCUCCUGACCGACUCUGAGCCAGAACGGCUUAUCAAGAUGCUCCUGUUCCUGAUUCAGAAACUUUGAGAUAGUAAAGGUUGUUUUAAGCCAGGAAAUGUUGGGGGGAUUUGUUAUGCAGCAAUAGAUUAAAACAUACAACAAAUAAAAAAGGUAAGUACCAAACAAAAAAGAAAUAUAGUCUAGGAGUUCAUAUAAGAAAGAAUCUGCGAUGAGGAGUUAAAAAUGUUUUCCUUAAAGUAGUGACUACUGAGCUAAGUUCUGAUGGAUGACUUAGAGCUAAAGAGACAAAGAAGGCAAGAGGAAGAAAGUGUCUCAACAAAGCGAAGUGUAUACAAAGGCCCUGUGACUUGUUCAAAGUCUUGGAUGGGGGCCAGGGGUGGCUGAGCAUGAAGAGAUAUGGGGAGUGUGGUUGCAGAAUGAAGCAGGACUUUGAAGAUCCUAUCAAGAGUUAUGGCCUUGGAAAACUGGACAGCUGCAUGUAAAUUAAUGAAACUAGAAUGCACCCUCACACCAUGCACAAAAAUAAACUCAAAAUGGCUUAGAGAGAUAAACAUAAGACAAGACACUAUAAAACUCCUAGAAGAGAACACAUGCUCUGGCAUCAACCAUACAAUCGUGUUCUUAAGUCAGUCUCCCAAGGCAGUAGAAAUAAUAACAAAAGUAAACCGAUGGGACCUAAUCAAACUUAAAAGAUUUUGCACAGAAAAGAAAACCAUAAAAAAAAAAAAAGGCAAUGUACGGAAUGGAAGAAAAUGGUUGCAAAUGAUGCAACUGAUAAGGGCUUAAUCUCCAAAAUACACAAAAAAACACAUACAACUCAAUGGCAAAACAAAAAACAAAUGAAACAAAACAAAAAACCCAAUUGAAAAAUGGGCAGAAGACCUAAACAGACAUUUCUCUAAAGAAGACAUACAGAUGGCCAACAGACACAUGAAAAAAUGCUCAACAUCACUAAUUAUUAAAGAUAUGCAAAUCAAAACUACGAGGUACCACCUCAUACCAGUCAGAAUGGCCAUCAAUAAUAAGUCUACAAAUAGCAAAUGCUGGAGAGGGUGUGGAGAAAAGGGAACCUUCCUGCACUGUUGGUGGGAAUGUAAACUGGUACAGCUGCUAUGGAAAAUGGCAUGGAGGUACCCCCAAAACUAAAUAUAGAACUACCAUAUGACCUAGCAAUCCCACUCCUGGGCAUACAUCCAGACAAAACUUUCAUUGCAAAAGAUAUAUGCACCCCUAUGUUCACUGCAGCACUAUUCACAAUGGCCAAGACAUGGAAACAACUAAAUGUCCAUUGACAGAUGAAUGGAUUAGGAAGAUGUGGUACGUAUACACAAUGGAAUACUACUUGGUCAUAAAAACAACAAAAGAGGAGUUCCCGUCAUGGCUCAGUUGUUAAUGAAUUCUACUAGGAACAUGAGGUUUCGGGUUCGAGCCUCGCUCAGUGGGUUAAGGAUCCGGCAUUGCCGUGAGCUGUGGUGUAGGUUGCAGACGUGGCUCGGAUCCCGUGUUGCUGUGGCUCUGGUGUAGGCCGGCCACUACAGCUCAGAUUCGACCCCUAGCCUGGGGACCUCCAUGUGCCGCUGGAGCGGCCCAAGAAAUGGCAAAAAGACACAAAAAAUAAAAAUAAAAAA